rnacentral:rRNA from 1 species
GAUGAACGCUGGCGGCGUGCCUAAUACAUGCAAGUCGAGCGAAUGGAUUAAGAGCUUGCUCUUAUGAAGUUAGCGGCGGACGGGUGAGUAACACGUGGGUAACCUGCCCAUAAGACUGGGAUAACUCCGGGAAACCGGGGCUAAUACCGGAUAACAUUUUGAACCGCAUGGUUCGAAAUUGAAAGGCGGCUUCGGCUGUCACUUAUGGAUGGACCCGCGUCGCAUUAGCUAGUUGGUGAGGUAACGGCUCACCAAGGCAACGAUGCGUAGCCGACCUGAGAGGGUGAUCGGCCACCCUGGAGCUGAGACACGGCCCAGACUCCUACGGGAGGCAGCAGUAGGGAAUCUUCCGCAAUGGACGAAAGUCUGACGGAGCAACGCCGCGUGAGUGAUGAAGGCUUUCGGGUCGUAAAACUCUGUUGUUAGGGAAGAACAAGUGCUAGUUGAAUAAGCUGGCACCUUGACGGUACCUAACCAGAAAGCCACGGCUAACUACGUGCCAGCCGCCGCAGUAA